GACGAACCGUGCGAACGUUGUUCGGAAUCACUGGGUUUAAAGGGCGCGUAGGCGGACUGUCAAGUCGGUGGUGAAAUCUUUCGGCUCAACCGGAAAAUCGCCUUCGAUACUGGCGGCCUUGAGGGAGGUAGGGGCAUGCGGAACUUCCGGUGGAGCGGUGAAAUGCGUAGAUAUCGGAAGGAACACCGAUGGCGAAAGCAGCGUGCUGGACCUUUUCUGACGCUGAGGCGCGAAAGCCAGGGGAGCAAACGGG
rnacentral:rRNA from 1 species